AACUGUAAAUGGAAAGUAACCUUUAAAAAUUGUAUAAAAACAUUUUAAAAUUUUAUAAAUAAAUAAGAGGGAGGCAGGAGAUGAGAGCGGGGAGAAGGUGAUGAAAAAAUGGAAGCAGAGAUUAGAGUAACGUGAUUAUGAGUCACAGCCUCUAGAAGCCAGAAGAGGCAAGGAGAAUGGACUGUCGCCUGAGGCCUCCAGAAGGAACAGCCCAGCCAGCACCUUGAUGUUAGCCGGUGAAUGGCAAAACAGGAGAAAGGGUUCCCACGUCGGAGGUGUUUCCUGCUGGACCAGGCCUAGCAGUGAUGACAUCACUCUGACCACAUCCCAUUGGCUACGAGCCAAUCACAUGACCAUACCUAGCUGCAAAGGAGCCUGGGAAGUGUGUCUAAGCUGUGUGCCCAGGAGGAAUGGGGACUCAGAACAUUGCCACUGCCUCAGAAGAUGAGGAAGAAGAAUCUCUAAUAACUCCCCAGUCUCUAAAUUGAACAACCACAUAAAUAGUGACUCCGUUAACCCACGAGAGGAUGACCAAAGGGAAGAUGGACGGUCAGAUCUGCACAUUGUGAGUUCAAAGAGCCAGUGGAUAUUUGGGUAGGACUGGAUGUACAGGUUCUUAGUUCAAGAUCAGUCUGAGCCAGAGUGAGACCUCGUGAGCCUGCAAAAGGAGUUAAGUCUUAGGUCUCUGCUCUCAACUCUGAGAGGCACCCACCCAAGGGUGCUCACCGGGCAAAUGGAGCACAUCCAAUCUGGUUCCGUCAUCCCUGAACUCUUCACAAUUUUCCCAGCCAAACAGAAGUCUCCAUAAUAAAUGACAAAUAAUAAACUGUUACAAUAGUG